rnacentral:rRNA from 1 species
UUCUGUAGGUGAACCUGCGGAGGAAGCAUAUCAAUAAGCGGAGGACGGCGGGUCCGCCCGCCGAUUGGACAAAACUUAAACCCUUUGCAGUUGCAAUCAGCGUCUGAAAAAACUUAAUAGUUACAACUUUCAACAACGGAUCUUUUGGUUCUGGUAUCGAUGAAGAACGCAGCGAAAUGCGAUAAGUAGUGUGAAUUGCAGAAUUCAGUGAAUUAUUGAAUCUUUGAACGCACAUUGCGCCCCUUGGUAUUCUAUGGGGCAUGCCUGUUCGAGCGUUAUUUGUACCUUUAAGCUCUGCUUGGUGUUGGGUGUUUGUCUCGCCUCUGCGUGUAGACUCGCCUUAAAACAAUUGGCAGCUGGCGUAUUGAUUUUGGAGCGCAGUACAUCUCGCGCUUUGCACUCAUAACGAUGACGAUUUAAAAGUACAUUUUUACACUCUUGACCUUGGAUUAGGUAGGGAUACCUGCUGAACUUAAGCAUAUCAAUAAGCGGAGGAAAUU